AUCUGAAUUGAUUCAAUUCAGGUAAUUGCAGCUAGGAAAUCUUGGCCUAAGUUUGGAAUGUCCAAGGGAGAUAAACCAGGUUUCACGAGCUGGUAAAUAUUUGAAGAAUAAUCAACUUGUAAACAUUAGUUCAUUCACGGCUGCUAGGAAU